GCGAGAGUGGCGGAAUCUGGCAGACGCGCUGGGUUUAGGUCCCAGUGUCCGCAAGGACGUGGGGGUUCGAGUCCCCCCUCUCGCA
rnacentral:tRNA from 1 species